rnacentral:rRNA from 1 species
UACGUAGGGGGCAAGCGUUGUCCGGAUUUAUUGGGCGUAAAGAGCUCGUAGGCGGCUUAGAAAGUCAGGUGUGAAACCUCCAGGCUCAACCUGGAGACGCCACUUGAUACUUCUAUGGCUUGAGUUCGGUAGGGGUAAGCGGAAUUUCUGGUGUAGCGGUGAAAUGCGCAGAUAUCAGGAGGAACACCGAUGGCGAAGGCAGCUUACUGGGCCGAUACUGACGCUGAGGAGCGAAAGCGUGGGGAGCGAACAGG